rnacentral:lncRNA from 1 species
GGAGUGCUAGAUUUGGAACAAGCAUGGCGGAUCUCCUGCAACGCCAAGACCUUACCACCGAUAGGAAUCCCAGCCUCUCAGCUCACCCCCUGGAUCAUUUGGCAUCUAUGGAUAGCGAGAAAUAACUUGGUCUUCAACAAUAAGCCUGCAUCAGCUCAGGAAACUUUAACCAAAGCAAUGGCUGCAGCACGGGAAUGGUCCAUCAAUCAAGUGAAGGACACUAAAAUCAGCCAAACCCUGAUAAGACCUGAAACAACUACCGUGAGGACCUACCUGCUACAAACAGAUGCGGCCUGGAAUACAGCCACACAAAGAGCUGGACUAGGAUGGACUGUCAAGAUGGAGGGAGAGACGACAGCUUCCGGACUCUGUUCUACUUUUGUUGGAUCAGCUCUGGUCGCGGAAAGCAUGGCCGUCC